AAAUGAUGUUACUCAGCUUCAUGGAAAAAAAAAACAGUAACAAGUCCCUAUUUAUGGAUCCCCCUUAGGGCCCGGUGUAAUAUUUUAAUUUUUACCGAUCCAUUCUGCCUUGGUCCGGUCAAACCGGAUCGGGAUUCGUCAAACCUGGUUGAUAAGCCCGACCCAGAAAGGUUCGUAUAUGGCGCUCCACAAGAAAAGGGCCUCACUACAAAACCCUAGAAAAUCAGCUUCUCUACCAUCUUGAAGCUCUUCGAUUUUGCUUUUGGCUUCAGUCUCUGUUAUAGGUCGAAAACGGGAAGAAACAGCCCUAUAUAUCACAGAAAACCACGAAUUCUAAUUCCAGAAGAAGAGCAAGAACAGAGCUGAAGCUAAGCAUAAGAGGAAGCUUGAAGAGAACCAGCCCGAAGUUGAGAAGAAAAAGAAGAAGAGAGAGAAGAGAGAGGAAAGGGAAGAUGCAUUGAAGAAUGGGUCGGUCUGUCAUUGUGUUGAAGGGACUGAAACAGUGAGGACGACGACGACGACGACGACGACGACGACGAAGAAGAAGAAGAAGAAGAAGAAGAAGAAGAAGAAGAAGAAGAAGAAGAAGAAGAAGAAGAAACACAAGAGAGAGAAAGAAGAAGAGUGUUUGGGACUUGGGUCGGGGCUUGAUUGUGAUGAAGAGUGUGAGAUUGUUAAUGGGCCAGGUGAAAUUGGUAAAAAGAACAAUAAGAAAAGGAAACAUAAGGAGGAGAGAGAGAAGAUGAAGAUAAGAGUUUGAAUAGUGUCCAGAUAUGUGAUGGGAACAGCAAAAAUAAUGUAAUUGUUCAAGAAAGUGGGACUCUUAAUGGGUCCAAUGAAAUUGGUAAGAAGAAGAACAACAAACAUAAGGAAGGAAGAGAAGAGAAGAGAAGAGUUUGAAUGAUGGGCUGGUUUUUGAUGAUUCCCAGAGAAGGCAAAUUCUUGAUGGGUUAAGUGAAGAAUAUGAUGAGGAGAGGAAAAGUUGUAGUGGUGGUGUGGUGUCUGGGAAGGAUCUAAAAGAAAUCAAAUACUGCAUUGACAUCUUUUGCAGAGUGUGGGCUUCCUAAAGAAGUGUUGGAGUGCUGAAAAAGUUUCGACAAUCCGUUGCCCAUUCAGUCCCAUUCUUGGCCUUUCUUGUUGAACCAGCGCGAUUUUAUUGGGAUUGCAGCAACGGGAUCAGGUAUUGCAUUGGUGCGAUAAUUCAUUAUUGUCUUAUGUCUAAUGCAAUAUUGCAUUGUGUCUUAUUGUCUUGUGAUCAGGUAAGACAUUGGCAUUUGGGGUUCCGGUUAUUAUGCAUGUUUUGCGCAGAAGCGAAAGAGUAAGGCAUCAAAGAUAGUGAAUCCAUUAUGCAUUGUACUUUCACCAACAAGAGAGCUAGCUCAACAAAUAUGUGGUUUUUGUCUUAAAUUUUUGUGUAAACAACUUGCUUAUUUUAUGGAAUGUCGCUUUUUACUUUCUUCAUUAUUGACUAACUUCCUGUUUUAGCAAAAAAUUAUGUCAUUGGAUAAGUCAACAAUGCAUAGCUAAGAACUGAAUGGCGAAACUUCAGAAGCACUUGGUUUAUAUAUAUUCAAAACUAAGUCAAUCUGCUGACUGCUGCUAUUUAUUGUUCCGCUCUUUCACAUUCUUGUGUCCAAGGAUUGUGAUUGUUUAACGUGUCUGAUUAGAAAGUUCUGUGACUUAACUUGCACUUGUUGGCAAAAAGGAAAAUUAGCUAAGGCUCCGUUGCUACGUAUAUAUUUAUUCUCCAUAGCUCUUCCUUACGUGCAAAACACUUAUUUGAUUUUGUAGUAUUUACUAUUUAUUGGUUGAAAGAAGUGGUUAACCAUUUUCACCUUGAGCUGGUGGCAGAUUUCAGAUGUUCUGUGUGAUUCUGGAAAACCCUGUGGCUUGCAGUCCGUUUGUUUUUAUGGAGGAACUUCCAAAGGACCCCAGAUAUCUGCUCUGAAGUCUGGUGUUGUAAGCCUUCUCUGGUUCUGCUCUACAAUUCUAUUCUCGCUAUUGGCAUAAAGCUUCUACAAGUCACGUGCUAUUUCUCGUUAUCCUCACCAUUUUGGUGCAAUAUAUUGUUCUCUUACUUGUCCAUAAAAAAAUGUUUGCUAAAGGUUCAUUUCGAGUACCCAUUUCUCAAAAUAUGUAUAGUUCUUUAAGUUGCAAUAGGAUUAGAGGUGCCAAAUCGGCUGGGCCGGGCGGGCCAUUUAUUUUUGUGCCUACCAUGCUUUGUGCAGUGUCGUGCUGUGCCAAUUUAAUAAAAACGUCAGUCAGGCCUGGUCCGGAAAAAUGGAGCGUAAUAUUUCCGUCAUACAGUGACCUAUAAAAAAAAUCAUUAACAGGGCGCAGUUCAAUCCCAGCAUAUAUCGUGUAUCACGCAAACUGUAAAGUUUAGUUUUAUCGCUUAUUUGCCAAUCUCUUAGUUAUUAAAUCUAACAAAGAAAUGCAUUAGAAGUCAAUCUAGAUUCUCAAAUACCAAUUAUCUUUGUAAUUGUAGGAUGUUUUUAGA
rnacentral:lncRNA from 1 species